AAAAAUUUUUUUAAUAAAAAAAAAAAAAGAUUUUUAAUGAAACAAAAUUUCGCUAUCAAAUCAGAUAUGAUCUGUUUACUAUUAAUAAAGAAAAAAAAAAUAUUCCGAUUGCAAUUGACAGUAAAACUGAUUUAAAUUUAAAUUUAAAGAAAAAACAAAAUGUCUGUGGUGUUUCUCCUAGAGAAAAAAUAUUUUCAAUUUAUUUAUAUUUUUGCUAAUAAUUCUACGGUUUAUUAUGGCUACAAGUAAUCGAAAUGUAUCAAACCAAAUAAUUUUGGAAGAAAGAAAAGAAAUGUCAGUUGAAUUGAUAUGUGAUGCGCUUUCAUUAAUUUUUAGUUGCGAUUCUAUGAUAUUCACACCGUAAGUGCGCUUCAGAAUUUAAAUUUUCGGAUGAAUCAAUAGAUGAACAAAUUAACUGAAACCUAAAUUUCCAACGCACUCUAUACGAAAGUAUCGUCUCUGUAGUCCUUGUCAAUUUUCAUUUUUAAGCGCACUUGCGACGUCAAUAUUGCCGCUUAAAUUUAAUGCCAAUAUUUUCGUUAUCGUUGGUAAACAAAAGCUUUAUUACUGGCAAAAAUAUCCGACAUCGUAUUCAAUUUUAUCGUUUCUAUUUGAGCCCCCAUCUAUGCCAGUUCGGACAAUUAUAAUAAUCGAAAACGAAAUCUUUGAAGAGAGACCAAAUACUAGAAUAUUAUUUUCGAAUUAAAAGAAAAAUCGGUACCCUACCAUCGCAUGAGAAGCCAAAAAGAGAAAGAAAGAAGAAAGAUUCGUAAUCGUGAAUAUGCAUAAGGACCAAACAGAUUUAUGUUUUUGUACGAAAGCUUAAGUUGACAUAACGGAUGGAUGAUGCUCGGGAUGAUGUGACAAUCCACACGUAAACGAACUUUACUCGAAAAAUGCAAACAAAGGACAUUGGAUGAGCGGGGCAGCUGGAAUUUUUUUUUGCUCGCUCAGAGUCUGUCCUAUUUUUUAAUUAUUACCAUAGCACUGCUCCUAGCAUUAACACGCUGCAUUAUACACAGCCUCCAAUCUGGAGGCUAAAGUGAUGAGAGCUACCGCUUAAGAUUGUUUGUACUGUGUGUUUUAACUCAUACAACGAAAGCAAGUUCACGGAAGAAACAAAGAUCAUAAUAUACUGUGAUUAGGAGAGUUACAUGGCACUGUUUUCACUGAUCACAGUUUUUUUUUGUAAAUUCGCUUAAAAUUGUUUUACUCUUUCAAGAACCGCACACUCAUUUCUAGAAAAGAAAAGGAACAGAUCUGCACAUGGAAAACUCGUUGAAAACGUUUCUGUCUUUUCAUAGUGCCUGCGAGAAAAUUUCUUUACUCAUGUGGGUGUAGUUUCGAGCCAAGGGCGAGGGAUAUAAUCCCCAGAGUGAGUAACUUUAUCACGCGCUGUCAUGUAAAAUCAAUUUUUACACUGUUUUGAAGUUCGAAAGCGUCUUUAACCGAAUAUGUUGGUUUUGUUUGGGUCUGUGAAAAAUCACAAUGCGUUUUAAAUUAAUUUAAUUUACGUUUUAGAAGCCUUAUGCACGUCACGAAUGAUCUUCUUUUUCGUUUCCAAAGUUUUGUUUGUUAUCAAAUGGCAUAACAUUCUAGUGUUGAUGUGAUAUAUAAAAAACAGAAUUUUAUUUUAAAUGAAAAAACGUAAAAAUUGAAAAAUAAAAAUUCGUCAAAUUUAGAAAAUGUUAGAUCGAUUAAAAAAAAAUAUGUGAAAAAAACAACAAAAAAAUUUACUAAAUGUUCGUAGUGAAAAAUAAACAAAAAAAAAUUAUUUAAGGUGCAAAUUUGCCGUUAUAAACUAUAUCGUAAACGUGAACGCUUUUCAAAAAAACAAAAAUAAAAAAAGAAACAAAAAUUUAUAAAUGUAAGAGAUGCGAGAAUGUCGAGAAAAUUAGUUGUCGGAAAAACUUGAAGCGAUUAGAUUCAAAAAAUAAAAAACAAAUUAUCGGUAAUUUCAAACGUCUACGGUAAACCUUCGGUUCGUCUUUUCAUAUUAUAGUAUAGUAAAAUCCAUAAUCAAACCUUCAAACGACUCGUUGCAUUAUGUAUUUCGAUAUUUUUUUUAAAAUUCCUUUUCUGAAAAUUAGAUUGGAUGAUCGGAGAGCUGCGACCAUUUAUCUGGCUGUUCUAUUCGAAAUUCAGUUUUCGAAUUUUGUCGAUCUUUAUCGAACGAACAAAAAUCUAAACUUAAGUGAUUAAAUUGGUUAUGCACAUGGGAGGGGACACCACAAUUUUAUCUGAACUCCGUCUAACAAAAGUCAAUGAUAAAAAUCUGUUUCGGAAGUUACACCUCAAUGAAAUGUUAAGACUGACCUCUCAUUUCGUGGGAGACAUUGUCUGCAUAAAAUUUCUUUUUGGAAACAAAUUUUCCCCGUUUGUUCAGCAAUGCAAAUUACGGACAAUCGGAUUCGACAAUAAUUUUAGAACAGUCGUUAUAUCGAUCAUCAACUAAUAAAGAGCGUUUUUAGCAUGUUCGCACAAAAGGGAAGUCCACCCAUAAAAAUUAAUUUCUAAACCCACUGAACAUUGUAAUCGUUCGGUGAAAAUCCAUUUCCACAAAAUAGUCGAUGGUUAAAAUGAUGAAGACGAUUGCUCGCCGUUCUACAGCGGAUAUCGUCUGGAUAGGUUGGAACAAAAAUUGGGAAUAAAAUAUUGGAAUUUCUCAAAAAUUUCAUCAAUUUUACAUAAUUGCGGAUCGGAAAUCGUUCUUCUCAUGUACUUGCGACGACCUUAUCGCGUAAGAUCCGUUACAAAGCUGAGUAUAAAAGUUGAAAAGUCCCAAUUUCAUAUGUUAACUGACCUCAGUUUCGCCUCGGCUCAACAAAAUUCACACGAAAACUGGACUUUCAUCUUUUGUUCCUGGUUCUGAAAGUGACGACUAAGAAGAAAGUAGAGAAAUGGAUUCUUGCGUUCGUCAAAUCAUCCAAUACUAAAUUGAAUUUCAGUUUUUGUGAUAAAAAAUUACGAAAUCCAAACUAUUUAUUCACAAUUUUUCGUUAGAAAAAAACCUAUUUACAAUUUUAUCAAAGCUAAGGAUAACGUAACCUCGUCUCGUAACUAUAUCUUUUUAACGGAGAGAAGAAGCAAAAAAAAAGUUACGUUUAGUCCAGAGAGCGUCUGGAUUCCACACGAAACGCUGACAGAAUAAAACUUUAUAAAAAAAAUGUAAUAAACAAAACGUAAAAAUAAAAAAAACGAAAAUGAAUUUGAAAAAAAAGCAAAGAAAAUUUAAUUUUAAUUCCACGAGAUGGUAAACGAUUGAGCGCGCGCAUUGCUAGUUGUAAUAAUCAAUUCAAUAAAUUGCGAAUUACUAUAUAUUUAUGUCGAAAAAUAGAAAGUGAAAAAGUUACUACCAGAAGAAGAAAGAGGAAAAAAUACAAAAAAAUGAUGAAAUAAGUAAAUGUACCUAUCUAUAUUACCUAUCUAUAUAUACAAAGUGUAUGUUAAAAACAAAUCAUAUAAUGAAAACCGUGUAUUUUUGUCGAAAUUAAUAAAUGUAUGCAACACUUAA